UGCUCGGCGAGUAGUACUACUACCAGUAGAGUCGCUCGUGGGUCACAUUGAUAGAUGUAGCUAGGCCUGCUUCUUUGGGGGCAAAGCUAGGGACGUUGGACGUUUGGCCGGCCGCACAAACAUACACGCAUCAUGGCUCACAUGAUGGAAAGCCAAAUAAGUGCCGCUAUAUGUAUAAAGGAGAUUUUUUUUUAAUAUUGUAUAUACUCCUAC
rnacentral:lncRNA from 1 species